AACGAACGCUGGCGGCAUGCCUAACACAUGUAAGUCGAACGAGACCUUCGGGUCUAGUGGCGCACGGGUGCGUAACGCGUGGGAACCUGCCCUUAGGUUCGGAAUAACUCCCCGAAAGGGGUGCUAAUACCGGAUAAUGUCUUCGGACCAAAGAUUUAUCGCCUUUGGAUGGGCCCGCGUUGGAUUAGCUAGUUGGUAGGGUAAAAGCCUACCAAGGCGACGAUCCAUAGCUGGUCUGAGAGGAUGAUCAGCCACACUGGGACUGAGACACGGCCCAGACUCCUACGGGAGGCAGCAGUGGGGAAUAUUGGACAAUGAGCGAAAGCCUGAUCCAGCAAUGCCGCGUGAGUGAUGAAGGCCUUAGGGUUGUAAAGCUCUUUUACCCGGGAUGAUAAUGACAGUACCGGGAGAAUAAGCUCCGGCUAACUCCGUG
rnacentral:rRNA from 1 species